CAUAGGUUAAUGAGGCGAACCGGGGGAACUGAAACAUCUAAGUACCCCGAGGAAAAGAAAUCAACCGAGAUUCCCCCAGUAGCGGCGAGCGAACGGGGAGCAGCCCAGAGCCUGAAUCAGUGAGUGUGUUAGUGGAAGCGUCUGGAAAGGCGCGCGAUACAGGGUGACAGCCCCGUACACAAAAAUGCACAUGCUGUGAGCUCGAUGAGUAGGGCGGGACACGUGGUAUCCUGUCUGAAUAUGGGGGGACCAUCCUCCAAGGCUAAAUACUCCUGACUGACCGAUAGUGAACCAGUACCGUGAGGGAAAGGCGAAAAGAACCCCGGCGAGGGGAGUGAAAAAGAACCUGAAACCGUGUACGUACAAGCAGUGGGAGCACGCUUCGGCGUGUGACUGCGUACCUUUUGUAUAAUGGGUCAGCGACUUAUAUUCUGUAGCAAGGUUAACCGAAUAGGGGAGCCGAAGGGAAACCGAGUCUUAACUGGGCGUUAAGUUGCAGGGUAUAGACCCGAAACCCGGUGAUCUAGCCAUGGGCAGGUUGAAGGUUGGGUAACACUAACUGGAGGACCGAACCGACUAAUGUUGAAAAAUUAGCGGAUGACUUGUGGCUGGGGGUGAAAGGCCAAUCAAACCGGGAGAUAGCUGGUUCUCCCCGAAAGCUAUUUAGGUAGCGCCUCGUGAAUUCAUCUCCGGGGGUAGAGCACUGUUUCGGCAAGGGGGUCAUCCCGACUUACCAACCCGAUGCAAACUGCGAAUACCGGAGAAUGUUAUCACGGGAGACACACGGCGGGUGCUAACGUCCGUCGUGAAGAGGGAAACAACCCAGACCGCCAGCUAAGGUCCCAAAGUCAUGGUUAAGUGGGAAACGAUGUGGGAAGGCCCAGACAGCCAGGAUGUUGGCUUAGAAGCAGCCAUCAUUUAAAGAAAGCGUAAUAGCUCACUGGUCGAGUCGGCCUGCGCGGAAGAUGUAACGGGGCUAAACCAUGCACCGAAGCUGCGGCAGCGACGCUUAUGCGUUGUUGGGUAGGGGAGCGUUCUGUAAGCCUGUGAAGGUGUGCUGUGAGGCAUGCUGGAGGUAUCAGAAGUGCGAAUGCUGACAUAAGUAACGAUAAAGCGGGUGAAAAGCCCGCUCGCCGGAAGACCAAGGGUUCCUGUCCAACGUUAAUCGGGGCAGGGUGAGUCGACCCCUAAGGCGAGGCCGAAAGGCGUAGUCGAUGGGAAACAGGUUAAUAUUCCUGUACUUGGUGUUACUGCGAAGGGGGGACGGAGAAGGCUAUGUUGGCCGGGCGACGGUUGUCCCGGUUUAAGCGUGUAGGCUGGUUUUCCAGGCAAAUCCGGAAAAUCAAGGCUGAGGCGUGAUGACGAGGCACUACGGUGCUGAAGCAACAAAUGCCCUGCUUCCAGGAAAAGCCUCUAAGCAUCAGGUAACAUCAAAUCGUACCCCAAACCGACACAGGUGGUCAGGUAGAGAAUACCAAGGCGCUUGAGAGAACUCGGGUGAAGGAACUAGGCAAAAUGGUGCCGUAACUUCGGGAGAAGGCACGCUGAUAUGUAGGUGAAGUCCCUCGCGGAUGGAGCUGAAAUCAGUCGAAGAUACCAGCUGGCUGCAACUGUUUAUUAAAAACACAGCACUGUGCAAACACGAAAGUGGACGUAUACGGUGUGACGCCUGCCCGGUGC
rnacentral:rRNA from 1 species